UAAUAAUUGAUGAUUUUUACUUAUUUAAUAAAACAAAGUAAUAAAAUGACUUUGGUAUUUAUUACUUGCCGGAGUAAAUAAACAGGCUUGGCAACAGCGCGUUUGAUUAUACCCACUAUACAGGGACGUGCAUGAGUGUGUGAGUUAACCAAAAUGCGUUGUCGUUACAAAGGAAAAUUAACUAAAAAAAAUAUAGCUCAGUGGAAAAAAAAUGUGAUUGCGAGCAAUAAAGCUCGAAAAAAAAAUAAGGAAAAUGCCGAAAAUACAAACUUUAUUGAACUAAGAAAAAAGAAAACGGUGGCUUAUCUGUGCAUAUGAUUAAAAAAAUGGCAAUGACUGGAAUAACUUUCGAUACUGUAAGUAAGUGCUUCAAAUCGAGUGGUCCUAAAGGUAUAAGAAUACUUUUGGCACAAGAUGUAGGUGGAAAACCUCGUAUUACGAAAAG